rnacentral:ncRNA from 1 species
CAAAGGCCUGGUCCUGACUUUAUUAUCAGCUUCAGCCAAACUUACACAUGCAAGUAUCCGCCCCCCCGUGAGGAUGCCCUUCGCUCCCCGCCCGGGACCAAGGAGCCGGUAUCAGGCACACCCUAGUAGCCCACGACACCUUGUUUAGCCACCCCCCCAAGGGUAUUCAGCAGUGAUAGAUUUUAAGCCAUAAGUGAAAGCUUGACUUAGUAGAAAGCUACCAGGGCCGGUAAACCUCGUGCCAGCCACCGCGGUUAUACGUGGGACCCAAGUUGAUAAAACCCGGCGUAAAGCGUGGUUAGGGAAAACACAGACAUUAGAGCCGAAUACCCUCAAAGCUGUCAUACGCAUACGAAGGUAAGAAGCCCAAGUACGAAAGUAGCUUUAAAAUGCCCGAACCCACGAAAGCUAAGAAACAAACUGGGAUUAGAUACCCCACUAUGCCUAGCCUUAAACAUUUAUAGUUCCCUACAACCUCUAUUCGCCUGGAAACUACGAGCGCGAGCUUAAAACCCAAAGGACUUGGCGGUGCUUUAUAUCCUUCUAGAGGGACACGUCCUAGAACCGACAACCCCCGUUCAACCUCACCUUUCCUUGUUUUUCCCGCCUAUAUACCACCGUCGUAAGCUGACCCUGUGAAGGAAUCAUAGUAAGCUUAACUGGCACAGCCCAGAACGUCAGGUCGAGGUGUAGUGUAUGGAAAGGGAAGAAACGCGUCCCAUUUUCUAUUAAAGAACCCCCGAUAAUGUGCUGAAACGCAUGUUUUAUGAAGUAGAAUUUAGCAGUAAGCAGGAAGCAGAGUGUCCUGCUGAAAUUGGCUCUGAAGCGCGCACAUACCGCCCGUCACUCUCCCCGAACCUCUCGAAGUAGCUUACUUAAAACCCUAGAACUGGCCUUAGGGGAGGCAAGUCGUAACAUGGUAAGUGUACCGGAAGGUGCACUUGGAAUAACUUAU